rnacentral:rRNA from 1 species
CGGCGGCCACCGGUAUAGGAAUUCGAUUAAGACAUGCGAGUCGAGAGUCGUAAUGGAUUCGGCGGACUGCUCAGUAACACGUGGAUAACGUGCCCUUAAGUGGAGGAUAAUCUCGGGAAAUUGAGGAUAAUACUCCAUAGACUACGAAAUCUGGAAUGAUUCAUAGUUGAAAGUUGCGGCGCUUAAGGAUCGGUCUGCGGCCUAUCAGGUUGUAGUGGGUGUAACGUACCUACUAGCCUAUGACGGGUAUGGGCCUUGAGAGAGGGAGCCCAGAGUUGGAUUUUGAGACACGAAUCCAGGCCCUACGGGGCGCAGCAGUCGCGAAAACUUCACAAUGGGGGCAACCCCGAUGAGGGAAUUCUUAGUGCUAGCACAAUUGUGUUAGCUUUUCUCUAGCGUAGAUAACUGGAGGAAUAAGGGCUGGAAA